rnacentral:rRNA from 1 species
GUGGGGAAUAUUGGACAAUGGGCGAAAGCCUGAUCCAGCCAUGCCGCGUGUGUGAAGAAGGUCUUCGGAUUGUAAAGCACUUUAAGUUGGGAGGAAGGGCAUUAACCUAAUACGUUAGUGUUUUGACGUUACCAACAGAAUAAGCACCGGCUAACUUCGUGCCAGCAGCCGCGGUAAUACGAAGGGUGCAAGCGUUAAUCGGAAUUACUGGGCGUAAAGCGCGCGUAGGUGGUUCAGCAAGUUGAAGGUGAAAUCCCCGGGCUCAACCUGGGAACUGCCUCCAAAACUACUGAGCUAGAGUACGGUAGAGGGUAGUGGAAUUUCCUGUGUAGCGGUGAAAUGCGUAGAUAUAGGAAGGAACACCAGUGGCGAAGGCGACUACCUGGACUGAUACUGACACUGAGGUGCGAAAGCGUGGGGAGCAAACAGGAUUAGAAACCCGGGUAGUCC